GACGAACGCUGGCGGCGUGCUUAGCACAUGCCAGUCGAACGGAAAGGCCCUGCUUUUGUGGGGUGCUCGAGUGGCGAACGGGUGAGUAACACGUGAGUAACCUGCCCUUGACUUUGGGAUAACUUCAGGAAACUGGGGCUAAUACCGGAUAGGAGCUCCUGCUGCAUGGUGGGGGUUGGAAAGUUUCGGCGGUUGGGGAUGGACUCGCGGCUUAUCAGCUUGUUGGUGGGGUAGUGGCUUACCAAGGCUUUGACGGGUAGCCGGCCUGAGAGGGUGACCGGCCACAUUGGGACUGAGAUACGGCCCAGACUCCUACGGGAGGCAGCAGUGGGGAAUAUUGCACAAUGGGCGGAAGCCUGAUGCAGCAACGCCGCGUGCGGGAUGACGGCCUUCGGGUUGUAAACCGCCUUCGCCUGUGACGAAGCGUGAGUGACGGUAAUGGGUAAAGAAGCACCGGCUAACUACGUG
rnacentral:rRNA from 1 species